ACCGCUGCUCCUCCAAUCCGGACAGCCAGAGGUGCUGUGGGGGCAAGAUAGUUAGACCUUGGUCAUCAUUAUAAGCCGUUUGUGAGUUUUCUAGGCACUUGGAGUCUUCAACUGCCCCACUCCUCGCCUAGAGAGACCCCACCCCCACCUGAUUUCAUAGUUCCUCUAACGGAAGCCAAACUUCUGUUACAGGAUUAGGCAAGAGUCUUAAGCCCAAAUGGGUGUGGCUGAAGACUUUAAGAAGAACGAGGGGAGGAGCAGGCAGAGAUACCAACAUUGAGUGCCAGAGCUUCCUCUAACUUUCAACCAGGCUCAGUGGUGAUCAAGAUCCUGAAGAACAAAAGGUCUGAUGCAUGAAAGAAUCAGUAAAGCUGUUCAAGUAAUAAGGCUCAGUGGUGCUCAAGAUCCUGAGGAACAUAAGGUCUGAUGCAUGAAAGAAUCAGUAAAGCUGUUCAAGUAAUAAGGUAUAUGGCUGUAUGGAAUAGAGGUUUUGAUGUCUUUGUCCCUUUCUUGGUGGUCACAGAGGUGAAUUUUGAGACAGUCCUAAUUACAUAUAUGAGCAUAUCUGGGAAUUGUACCUCUGCCCUGUAGCUGAAUUGGACUCUUAGAGUCAUUUCUGUAGAAUUUAGUUCCACAUUUAUAUUUUCUGUUAGCAAGGCUAGUUUGAAACUUGACACAGAAUUAACAUUAAAGAUUGUCUUUAUUGUUGGUUCAUAGACUCUACAAAGAUGACCAAGGCUGGUUCAUUAAGAUCAGAGCCAGGAGGGGUGGUACACACCUGUAAUCCCAGUAGCUCAGGAAGCUGAGGCAGGAGAAUCACAAGUUCAAAGCCAGCCUCAGCAACUUAGUGAAGCCCUGUCUCUAAAUAAAUAUUUUAAAAGGGCUGGGGUUGUGGCUCAGUGGUUAAGUACCCCUGGAUUCAACUCAUGGUACCAAAAAGAAAAAAAGAUCAGUUAGAAUAAUUCUAAAUUAAAUAGCUAUUUUAAAAAGUAUCUUAAGAAAUUGUUGACUGCUUUAAUUUACAAAAGUCAUUAUAAAAUUAUUCUUACUAUUCCAGACAAUCAUGUGCUUUUAUGGUAUACUCAAUUAGUAGAGGCGUAAAUAUGGUAGGACUAGAAUUAAAUUCUAAGAUUUACCUCUUACCUGAGCAAAAUAUCUGUACAUCAUAGCAAAAUUUGAAACUGUCCUCAUUGUUGGUUGACUAAAGAAAAGUUUAAAAUACUUUCAAAAACUUGGCUUUGUGUGUUUUGUAUGCUUCCAUCUUUUUUCAUAGUCGAUCAUUUUGGUGAUCAGAUCUGACCCUCUUGACAGAAAACGGAUCAAUUGAUUCCAAGAACAGGAAGGGGUUGAUUGCAAAGGGCUAGGAGGGGAUUUUCGAAGUGAUUUUUACAUCUUGUUCUACAUCUUGAUCAUCUUGGUGAUUGCAUGAUUAUGUGUUUGUCAAAUAUCACACUUAACAGGAUGAAUUUUACAGAAUAUAAAUUCGUACUAAAAUAAGCAUGACUUUAAAAACAUCCUUUCCGGUAUCUUAAUAACAUUUCCAAAGCAAUCUAUGGGAGAGUGGUUUGGGAUCACCAUUUAACAUGAUUUUAUUGAGACAUUAAGAGCAACAGAAAUGCAUGAAGAUCAUUUUUAGGGUAUAAGUGACUCAUGCACAUGAUAAAUAUCAGAGAAAAGUAGGAUAUUGACACACCCAUCCAAGAUAUGAACUUUACAUUUAUGGAUGAUUGAGGUAGCAGCAUAUACUACUCUACCUGCUCAACAGCUGCACUUUGAAUCUCAGCUAUGCCAUGGCACUUUCACCAAUUUGAAAAUCCAUAUAGUCACAAUAAGGUAGCGGAAAAUGGGGUAAAGAUUCUUACUAUGUGCCCCAAUGCUGUUAAUUCUACUUUGGGUUCCUUGAAUCCUGAUUCCUAUAUUGACCGGGUUUUCACUCCAAGGAAAUUUUUUGUAAUGUGAAGGUAUGUGAACUGCUUGGUGUGCUCCUCUGAAAGGCUGGUUGAAGCCAGGUGUAGCACAUACCUGUAAUCCCAGCAACCCAUGGGGUGGGGGGAGGGUCUGAAGCAGGAGGAUCACAAGUUCAAAGCUAGCCUGGGCAAUUUAUUGAGACUCUGUUUCAAAACAUAAAGGGCUGGGGAGUGUAACUCAGGGGUGGAGUGCCCCAGGGUUCAUUUCCAGUACUACCAAAAAGAAAAAAAAUGCAGUUUGGAAAAAAGUCAAUCUUCUUUUCCCCUAAAAAGAAAAAUGGGUUCUAAAAAGAAAGAUGAGUUCAAACAUUAGUUGAGUCAUUGUUCUUCCCUAUAGGUCAAACUUCUACCCCUGAGCCUGUUGAGCCCUUCCCUGGUGACCAAGGGUAUAGAGCUUAGUUUUGUCAUCUUGUAUGUCUUCCAGAACCCAUUGGGGUUCCAGGUUUGAUGCAUUCUUGCUGUAUCCCCACCUCCACCAAAUCCAUGUCCCUAUACCUGGACAUGGUUAAAGAGUUAGAAUUGAAACCAGUCUUAAAAAGUAGAAUGGGGCUCGUUUCCCCAGUGUUAUAGAUUGAACACUUGAGAAAUGCCAAGGCAAUAGGUUUUAUUUAAAGGACAGAACAGAGACUCCUGAGGGAGUGGGGUGUGUUGGCCUUUUUAUAGAUUUUAGAUUUCCUUUCUUGUGUCCCCUCCUCCUCUUAUCUUGCCUAUUUGACCAAAAGGGCAGGAAGAGAGCCAUCUAGGGGGUGACUUCUUGGGUUGGAAAAUGUGAUCUUUCCCCUCCCCUGGAGGUUGUUAGCAACCAGGUGAUGGGGAGUGCUACCUACCCAUUUCCUUCUCUUUGAUUAUCAGCUGCCUGUCCUUUGCCCUCCUCUCACCAUCAGUGAGAUGGGCUAAGGAGCUGCAGUCAUGCAUCAGUUCUGUAGGAUCAACUUUCCCUCCUUGGCACAGCGUGUGCCCUGUAUGUUAAAACAGCUAAGGCAGCAAUAUACAAAUGCCAACAUGACUACUAAACCACCAGACUGUCCUUCGAGCUCCAGGGCCCUAACAGAAGAAGCAAGUCUGAAGUUGAAUGAAAUGUUUUCACAAGAUUUAUUCAUUUCAAAUGAGAGACUUGGGCUU